AUGGGGAAGAAGCCGUGCAGUGCUGGCCCUUCCUCGGCAUCCAGGCCCAUGAACCAGGCCAUGUCGCUCCGCGAGGAGACCUCCGGGAAGACACAAGCCAACACGCCCUCCCUGCUGAGGGUCCAGCACCUGCAGCGGCUGGGGGCGUGGGCGACCGGUGAGGCGGGAGUUGGCUCGAUCGGAGCACUGCUGGGCCGCCGCUUCGCCAUGGACGUCGAGGUGGCCGGGAUCCCCAUAGAUGCUUCCACCUUCCUUUGCCAGAAAUGUGAAUCAAUCUUACAUCCAGGCUUCAACUGCACAAUCCGCAUAAAGAACAACAAAAAGAAAGCAAAGCGGCGCAAGAAGUCAAAUCCUGGCCAAAACAGUGUUGUCUAUGCAUGCCAUUUCUGUGGAGACCAAAACCUGAUACGGGGUAGUGGAAAGGGUAUCGUGAAGGGACUGUUAUCAUCAAGAAAGCCUGUUAGCACAAUGUUGAAAGCAGAACAUAUGAACGUGCCAACAGUAACUACUAAAAAGGGGAUCGGGCAUUCUGUGACAGCAGCCUCGCAACUGGAAUCAUCCAGUCCUGAAAAUUAUAAAAUGGAGAAAGGGGCAGUUUUCUCAAUGGUGGAUCAUGGUCAGUUAGCGGCUGCACACAAAGACAUCCUGCAGCAAAUCGAAGUAGAAAGCGCAAAUGAUAAAUGUGUGAAUGGAAUUCAGCCUGCGGCUUCUAAAAAUUCUACUACAUGUGAACAUGAUGUCACUUCUCAAGCAGAAUUUCUAGCUGGGUCAAACUUUGCUACUCCUCAGAAGAACAAACUGGCGGAAGUAGCUUCAGCAGAAGCCAAGUCAGCUUCGAAUACCAGAUCUGCACGAGGUGAUUCUACUCAGCCAGCUGGCAGUUCAAGGAAGCGGGCAAGAAAAGGGUGGACUACGCUGAAGCAGAUUGCCGAGAAGGACGAGCUUGAGAGAAAAGAGAAGAUGGAUAACUUUGUAAUCCCGUUCUUCAUGCAGUAG
rnacentral:rRNA from 1 species